rnacentral:rRNA from 1 species
ACGGCGAGUGAAGCGGCAACAGCUCAAAUUUGAAAUCUGGCCGCAAGGUCCGAGUUGUAAUUUGUAGAGGAUGUUUCGGGCACCGCCGCGGUGUAAGUUCCUUGGAACAGGACGUCAGAGAGGGUGAGAAUCCCGUCUUGGAUCGCGGUAGGGCUCGUGUGAAACUCCUUCGACGAGUCGACUUGUUUGGGAAUGCAGGUCAAAAUGGGAGGUAAAUUUCUUCUAAAGCUAAAUAUUGGCCCGAGACCGAUAGCGCACAAGUAGAGUGAUCGAAAGAUGAAAAGCACUUUGAAAAGAGAGUUAAACAGUAUGUGAAAUUGUUGAAAGGGAAGCGCAGGCAACCAGACUCGAGCGCGGGGUUCCCCUGGUUCUGCCAGGUCACUUCCCCGCGACCGGGCCAUCAUCAGGUUUGGGGGUCGGUCAAAGGCCCCGGGAAUGUACCUACUCCUUCGGGGGUAGACUUAUAGCCCGGGGUGUCAUGCGACCUCCCGGGCCUGAGGAACGCGCUUCGGCGAGGAUGAUGGCGUAAUGGUUGUCUGCGACCCGUCUUGAAACACGGACCAAGGAGUCUAACAUCUAUGCGAGUGUUUGGGUGUCAAACCCCGGCGCGGAAUGAAAGUGAACGGAGGUCGGAAGGCGCAAGCCCGCACGAUCGACCGAUCCUGAUGUCUUCGGAUGGAUUUGAGUAAGAGCAUAGCUGUUGGGACCCGAAAGAUGGUGAACUAUGCGUGAAUAGGGUGAAGCCAGAGGAAACUCUGGUGGAGGCUCGCAGCGGUUCUGACGUGCAAAUCGAUCGUCAAAUUUGCGUAUAGGGGCGAAAGAC